UAGGGAAUCUUCGGCAAUGGGGGGAACCCUGACCGAGCAACGCCGCGUGAGUGAAGAAGGUUUUCGGAUCGUAAAGCUCUGUUGUUAAGGAAGAACGAGUGUGAGAAUGGAAAGUUCAUGCUGUGACGGUACUUAACCAGAAAGGGACGGCUAACUACGUGCCAGCAGCCGCGGUAAUACGUAGGUCCCGAGCGUUGUCCGGAUUUAUUGGGCGUAAAGCGAGCGCAGGCGGUUAGAAAAGUCUGAAGUGAAAGGCAGUGGCUCAACCAUUGUAGGCUUUGGAAGCUGUUUAACUUGAGUGCAGAAGGGGGGGGUGGAAUUCCAUGUGUAGCGGUGAAAUGCGUAGAUAUAUGGAGGAACACCGGUGGCGAAAGCGGCUCUCUGGUCUGUAACUGACGCUGAGGCUCGAAAGCGUGGGGUGCGAACAGG
rnacentral:rRNA from 1 species